UUCUGAACGGAGUGAGCAGCUGGUAGAGCAACGGACUGUUAAUCCGUUUGUCGGUGGUUCGAGACCACCUCGAGAAGCCA
rnacentral:tRNA from 1 species